rnacentral:lncRNA from 1 species
UGGGCGCGGGAGGAUGGGGGGGAACGCCACUGCCCAGCAGGGGCACUAGGGCGCAGCUCCAGGAGCAGGCUGCGGGGCGGCAGGACGCUCGAGAGGCAGAGGGAGGUGGCGGGGGCGAAAAUAUGUAGAGCGAUGCAACUUUGCGAAAAAUAAAAGACGAGGCGAUGGGUCCAAUGCCUUAGGGGAGCCCAAGGAGCGAGAUAAAGUUGUGCGGAUGACACCGCUUGCAGUUGUGCCAGUGUCAACUGGGUUAGGGGCUUUCUGCUGCGGCUGGCAAGUGGGAGGAGGAGAAGGAGUUGGAAGAGGAGGAGGAAGAAGAGGAGGAGAAGACGGCCACAGAGGUUCACUUGUCCAUGUAACGGGAGUUGUUUAGCGCGCGGGGAGGUGCUGCCACCGCGCGCCCCUUGACGUCACCGCUUCUCGCGCGCCCCCGCCCGGGCUGGGGGGAGGGGAGGGGGCGGCCGCGGCGCGAGCGCGUCCCCCAGGCCGCCGGCCUCCGGGAUGCGGCGGGGAGGGGCCGCGGCCCGCGGCGCCGGACGGAGGGGCGGGCCGGCCGAGCCCUACGGAGCCAGCCUCGAGGGCGCGGGACCCGGCGGGGGGCGCGCACGGCCCCGGUCCUCCCGCAGGCCCGCUGGGGACGAGGGCGCGGCCAGGAGCUUCCCGCCGGCUCGGCUCUUCAGCCCGCAGCCCCUCCGCAACACUCCGGCCUCAGGGCGCCGAGCUGAGGCUCCGAGAGCAAAGGGAAAUUGCAAAGCCCACCUGCAGCCAGCUUGGCAGCAUAAUUUUAUAGGACUCAAGAAUCAACGCUGGAUUAUUUCCUAAGACUGAACCUUGAAAGCCCACUUGCAGGCUGCACAGCCAUCUGCACCCUUGAACAUGAAAAAUGGUCUUCUUCCAUCAGGGAGAACUCCUUCUUCAGCUAAAUCAUCAGAAAUGGUCAGAAGACGGGACCCCUACCCGAUCAAACUCAUCCAGACAAAUGAAAUUGGUCUUUUUCAGUAAGGAAUGGAGCCGUAUCAAGGUGGCCAGGUUGCCAUCUUCUGCUCUCACCACCAUGGAGCAGCCACCUCUGGGACUGACACCCUCGUGGCACCCACUGCCAUGCCCUAUUCAGGAGACCUGGCUGAGGCAGCUAAUGGGAGCUGAAAUCCUACCCAGGCUCCACUAACCAAGCAGAGUUUAUUGCUGCAUGGCCAUGUCUACCCAGACGAUGUGGCUCCUUUUUCUAAUUUGCGCCAAGGCACCUUGUAUGGACUGGAAGCAGCUCUGACCGUCCUGCUUUCACAUCCCCCGUUCCUAUCCAGGAUUAUAUUCCUUACCUUGGAUGGAUUAAAGAUUCUCACGAACAAAUUAGGUUUAUUGUAAAACCUAUUGAAAUAUUGUUGAAUAUAUUAUUGAAGUAUUUGAUCCAAAUUGAAAUUAAUUUCAUAGGUAAAGCUCCAAAUAUUACCAUGGAUAUGAAUUAUGUGUGUAUAUCUUUAUAUAUGUAUGUGUAUAUAGUUGUGUGGAUACACAUUUCUAUGUAUCUGAAGUUAGCACAACUUCAAUUUGGUAAAUAUUUAAAAUAAAACCAUUUUGGGCAUUGGAAUCA